rnacentral:tRNA from 1 species
GGCCGGUUAGCUCAGUGGGUUGAGUGUGGUGCUGAUAACACCAAGAUUGCAGGUUUGAUUCCCGUUCGGUCC